GUUUCAGACGAACCUUUGAGGAGUUGAAGC
rnacentral:other from 1 species